GGGACGACACACGGCCGCAGCCCCCGGUCCCCAGCUGCAGCCGCCGGGACGGCCCCUGGGAGGAGCCGGGGCCGCGGAGCGAUUCAACCGGGCCGCCGCCGCGUUAACCAGCUGCCCUGAAGAAACCUUCCGCAGAUCCCCAAAGUGCCCAGAGUAUUGAAAGUGUGCACAGUCAACUGCUGGUUAGCGGAACUACAACUGACCCAUUUCGAUGAAGGGGACCAGAGGAGAGUGUGCCAGAGAAACUCAAGGUGACAGCCAGUGCCCUAGCUUAUUCAGACCAAAGAAGUGCAGGAACAAAUAGUUCCAGCACGGUUAUCCUCACAAAGGGAAGUGGGGAGCAGUGGAGAGGGUGCGUGGUGAGAAGGAAAGGCAUUUGAGUUUCCCUUUUGUCACCUCAACUCACUAACACCUUAUGUAACUUUUCUUAUUUUAUUUUUUUUUUUUUUAACUGGGACACUGAAAAAGUUUCCUCACUGUAGAGCUGUUGGAAUAAAAAAUAGUUGUGACCAUUUUGGAAUAUUUUUGUUUUUAGCUGAAGAAAUUUGUAUACAAAAAAGUCUAGGAGAGCAAGUUAAAGCUUUUUUAACAUAGAGUGUCCUGUAAGCUGGCUGGGCUUAAACCACAACACAGAGUCAGGCAAUUUCUUUUUCCUGAUGUAAUAAAAGGUGCGACUAAACCCCUGUGAUACCACAAUUUACUCCUGCAGGCUGAAGUUAUUACUAAGAAUAACUUUAUAUAUUCAGCUUGAGCUUGUGCUGGGAGUCUGAUCUGGGAGACCAUCGCAGGGUGAAACUGCACAAGUUUGUUGUUAACCUGAAGACACAAACAGAAGGAGCCUGGAGGACUCAAACACAGCAGCAUCUGACCUCACUUCACUGAGAUUAGUGUCUGUGUCCUUUACCUCCUGUUUGCAAUGGGCAAGGCGUGCGUGUGUUGGCAGCUGACAUGCCUCAGCUGGCAGGUGGUCACUCAUCAAGGAGCAGUAACUCCUCUGCAUGUCAGUCUAACUCCAGCUUAAUUUUUUUCCUUGAAAGCUUUUUUCCUCCCUACCAUUUGCACAGCAGGCUCCUGGAAAUGAUCUGAACUGCAUGCAUGGAACAGGGAGAGAGUCAGGCUUUAGCUUGGUGAACUCCUGAACCAUCUGGGAGAGGGGCUGCCUGGCUUUGUGCGUGUCCCUGGCUGCUGACCUUUCCUCCCCAGGUUCCCAAAGGUCUGUCCAUUCUAUGAAAUCUAUCUUGCUACA